rnacentral:misc_RNA from 1 species
CCGAGUUAGGGUCCCUUAGGGCUCGACCUCCAAACCCUUGUGUACCUCACAUGCCUGUUGCUUCGGCAGGCCCCCGUGCCUGCCGGAGCCCCAACAAAAAACAAUAUUGUCAUUGUGUCGUGUCUGAGUUUAAAUGUUUAAAUUGUUUA